rfam:Streptomyces varsoviensis strain NRRL B-3589 P027contig238.6, whole genome shotgun sequence.
CUUCAGCGACCCGAUCCACAGCGGCGUGUCCGCCGUCCGCUCCCGGCCGUAGGUGUCCAGCAGGGCCCGGGCCUC